rnacentral:pre_miRNA from 1 species
AAACAGCCCCCUAUGUUUUGAUUCUUUGACAGUUUUGGACCCCCAAGGCAAAAUAAAAAUAAAAAAUUUGACACGUGGCACCUCACUUAGGGUGCUACGUCAGCGUUGACCGAGUCAACACUGGACUGAGGGUUCAAAACUGCCAAAGAAUCAAAACAUAGGGGACUGUUU